AUGAACGCUGGCGGCGUGUCUAAGGCAUGCAAGUCGCGCGAACCGUUUGAGAUUAUAUCAAUGACGGUGAGCGGCAGACGGGUGCGUAACACAUUGGUAACCUACCUCGAGGACGCGAAUAACUUUGGGAAACCAGGGCUAAUCCGCGAUACGGACGGGAGGGCGCAAGUCAUUUCCGUUGAAAUGCUCCGGCGCCUCGAGAGGGGCCUAUGGCCUAUCAGCUUGUUGGUGAGGUAAUGGCUCACCAAGGCGAUGACGGGUCGGGGACGUGAGAGCGUGAUCCCCCUCACUGGGACUGAGACACUGCCCAGACACCUACGGGUGGCUGCAGUCGAGAAUAUUCCUCAAUGGGCGAAAGCCUGAAGGAGCGACGCCGCGUGCCAGAUGAAGCCCUUCGGGGUGUAAAUGGCUUUUAUAAGGGACGAACAAAUGACGGUACCUUAUGAAUAAGAGGUUGCUAACUCUGU
rnacentral:rRNA from 1 species